CCCCCAACCCCCCAAACUCUAACCCUAAAUUUCGAUCCCCAUUCCCCAAUUCAAUUUCUAGUAUAAGUUGGGUGAUUGAUGGAUGACGAAAAAUCAAACGUUUGAGGAGUAAAUCUCUUUUAAAUUUCCAAUGUAGCUUGUCUUAAUUUACGUGUAAUGUUAUGGAGGCAACUACGAGGACUCUCCUUUAAUUUUAGUAGAGCCUCCCCGAUUACCAUAUUAAGCAAAAGUUAGUAUCCUAUUUUCAUCUCCAUUUGCAUAGCUUGGUGCACAUGCAUCCUCACAAGAACCGCGUCAACAAAAAACGGAGCGGGCUAGUAAAGCAAAGUAAUAAUACAAUCUGAAAUAAAGUUAUAGUUUUAUGAUCGAACAUCCAAAUCAAAAUCUCAUUGCACCAUAAUAUUUGUUUUAAUAAGAACUUCAAAACAGGAUCACAAUCGGGUAUAUUUUGAUCAAAAUAGUGUACUUUUUUAAAAACAAAUGUUACUUCCUCUAUCAUAUAAAUUAGUCAAAAGUUACUUCCUAUCAUGUACAUUAUUGAUAGGUUACUUCCUUUCAUGAACUACAAAGUUUAGUUUCCAGUUCAUAAGUUACGUUUUAUGGACCGUGAAGUGGAAUGCAAUGUUACUUUUUCUUAACUUUCACGGUGUAACAACUUUCAUAGAGCACAAAAGUUACUUUCUUAAUACAGGCACGGACCAGAAAGGUACUUUUUUUUUCCCUAACAAUGUUACUUUUCAAAAUUUUCACGGAGUAUAUAGAUACUUUCUUAAUAUAGGCACUGGCCACAAAGUACUGUCUUAAUUAUUGAUGAGCAUAGAGUAGCAUGUGCUCGUGUGUGUUGUGCUCUGCAGAAAUAAAACACUUGACGCAUAUGCAUGCACGUGUGAGACUGAGAUGGUCAGUGGGUGCAUGAAAACUAGAGUGCUAAGGUAAGCAAAUCAACUCUCUUUUUUUAGAAAUAAAAUGUGAUCGGACUUUCCAUUUUAGGAAAAUUUGAGUGCUCUUCCUUUAAGACUAAAUAGAGAGGGCUCUUCAUUUAGAUUUUAUUUCUUUCGUAUUCGACUUCAUAAUACGAAAGGAAGUUUCAUCUUUGGAAAAUGGUUGGUUUGAUGCUUUACGCGGCUCCACUGGCGGCGAACAUUUUGCUUUUGACAUGAAGAACAUGCAAGUCACUGGCGGCCUUCUCGUAGUAGCGGCUUUCUCCAGUCAUGGCGCCGUAUUCAUUUAGUAUUGUCGAUUUGGUCUUUCUAUGGCGCGGGGGAUGCGUGGAGCAAGCAAUUGGUAUUUUUGUGCUGAUUGGUUGCUGAGGCAAUAUGUCGAACAUGUGGUGUGCGAUGCUGCUUGGGAGGAGCAAGUGUUUAUCCUGAUUCUGGGUAAACUAGGUUCAUUUCAACUGUGACUGAAAGGAGAUGGUGGUAAAGUUGCUGUUACUCUGGCGUGCUGGGUGUAUAAGCAUAAAGGAACUAGGAGGCACUGUAAAGUCUGAACAACCGAACCUCUUACCAACUUCAGUACGUCAGUAGUACAUUCAUCAGCAAAGAAGCCAAGGAUCGCGAUGGCACUGCGGCAAGCACUGGGAUGGUCGGAAGGGGAGGUGAUGCGGCCAGAGUCAAAGCCCUGCUCCCGGUUGAUGCGGCAGACUGCUGGCAUAUUCUCCGUUGGUGGCGGUCUGGCUUUCUGGGUGCUCUGCCGCCUUCACUAUGGUCCAAGAAUAACAGUUCCAAGGAGUCUCAGGUGGGCGUCAUGCGGAGCAGUCUCUGUGAGCGCGACAACAGCCCUGCUUGUGCGGCUCUUCAGCCCAGAGUGUGAACCUCAGAACAUAGCCGCAUUUGACAUACCUGAAUUGAAGCCUGAAUAGGUUAUCUGAAGUUCAGAGUUAGUGUACUAAAACCUAUCAUGUUUUUUAUCCGUGCAUCCUGGACAGUUUCUGGAAGAUACUUCUGCAUCAUGUAGCCUGCCGUAAAGAUCUAUGCCGUCGCUUGAAUUUGCCUUACUGGCUAUCAUGUAUGGUAGAUUUGUCUCCGAAUUAUGAGCGGGUUCCUAUGCUUUCGAAUGGAAUAUUAUGUCGCUGAAAUUCAGAAACAAUCAAAGUUGCAAUCCGUUGUGAGAUAUGCAGGUCCUUCACGUCAAAACAUCUAGAUGCCCUUUUAAGAAACAUCUAGAUGCCCAGAGAAGUUUCCAACAAACUGCGAUCUAUAGACAAAAACGGCAUUCCAAUUUUCAUGACACGACAAAACAUUUAGAUGCCCUUUUAAGAGUUGAUGAGGGCUCAUGAAAUGAUGUUGCAUCUCGUCUUACGAAUACAUGCCAUCGCGAUCCUUGGCUUCUUUGCUGAUGAAUGUACUACUGAUGUACUGAAGUUGGUAAGAGGUUCGGUUGUUCAGACUUUACAGUGCCUCCUGGUUCCUGAAAUGAGAACACUUAGUGAUGAAUAUGCUACUGAUGUGCUGAAGUUGAUACGAGAGGUUCAGUUGUUCAGACUUUACAGUGCCUCCUGGUCAUCACUACCUAAUGAUCAUAUUUGCUACUGAUGGCAUUAACUUCUAUGACCCGAAAUUGGGCACCCCGGCUGUGUCUUGUGAUAAUAUUGUUGAUAUCCUGGAAUGUUUUAAGGAAAAAUGGACUGGUGGAGUUGACAGUUUGUCUAAUCCAAACGGUGUGGGUGGAGGUGUUCAAGGAGAUUGCAGUGUUUGUCUGAACUCGUGGCCAGUGCCUCGGCGAUAUUGGCGCCAGCCAGAUGAACCCGAGAAGUCUUAUUUGGAUGAAUAUGAACGUAGGGUCCUAGACAGCGGCUGCCAGUUCGAGUACAU